rnacentral:rRNA from 1 species
CACAUGCAAGUCGAACGGCAGCACAGAGGAGCUUGYUCCUUGGGUGGCGAGUGGCGGACGGGUGAGGAAUACAUCGGAAUCUACUCUGUCGUGGGGGAUAACGUAGGGAAACUUACGCUAAUACCGCAUACGACCUACGGGUGAAAGCAGGGGAUCUUCGGACCUUGCGCGAUUGAAUGAGCCGAUGUCGGAUUAKCUAGUUGGCGGGGUAAAGGCCCACCAAGGCGACRAUCCGUAGCUGGUCUGAGAGGAUGAUCAGCCACACUGGAACUGAGACACGGUCCAGACUCCUACGGGAGGCAGCAGUGGGGAAUAUUGGACAAUGGGCGCAAGCCUGAUCCAGCCAUACCGCGUGGGUGAARAARGCCUUCGGGUUGUAAAGCCCUUUUGUUGGGAAAGAAAUCCAGCCGGCUAAUACCUGGUUGGGAUGACGGUACCCAAAGAAUA